rnacentral:rRNA from 1 species
CCUACGGGGGGCUGCAGUGAGGAAUAUUGGUCAAUGGACGAGAGUCUGAACCAGCCAAGUAGCGUGAAGGAUGACUGCCCUAUGGGUUGUAAACUUCUUUUAUAUGGGAAUAAAACGUUCCACGUGUGGGAUUUUGUAUGUACCAUAUGAAUAAGGAUCGGCUAACUCCGUGCCAGCAGCCGCGGUAAUACGGAGGAUCCGAGCGUUAUCCGGAUUUAUUGGGUUUAAGGGGAGCGUAGGUGGAUUGUUAAGUCAGUUGUGAAAGUUUGCGGCUCAACCGUAAAAUUGCAGUUGAAACUGGCAGUCUUGAGGACAGUAGAGGUGGGCGGAAUUCGUGGUGUAGCGGUGAAAUGCUUAGAUAUCACGAAGAACUCCGAUUGCGAAGGCAGUUCACUGGACUGCAACUGACACUGAGGCUCGAAAGUGUGGGUAUCAAACAGGAUUAGAUACCCCAGUAGUC